rnacentral:rRNA from 1 species
GAUGAACGCUGGCGGCGUGCUUAACACAUGCAAGUCGAACGGAAAGGCCCAACCUUGCUUGGGUACUCGAGUGGCGAACGGGUGAGUAACACGUGGGUGAUCUGCCCUUCACUUUGGGAUAAGCCUGGGAAACUGGGGCUAAUACCGGAUAGGAGCUCCUCCUGGAUGUUGUGGUGUAGAGAUUUUUGGGUGUGGGAUAAGGUCGCGGCGUAUCUGAUCGUUGGUGUGGGGUUGGCGUACCCCGGCGUCGUGGGGGGUCCGCCCUCAGAGGGUGUACGGGGACAUUGGGAGAGAGAGAUAGGCCAGAGUCCUAUGGGGGGCAGAAGUGGGGAAUAUUGCACAAUGGGGGCAAGACUGAGGCAGAGAAGCCGCGUGGGGGAUGAGGGCCUUCGGGUUGUAAACUCCGUUCGCUAGGGACGAGGCGUGUUUGUGACGGUACUGGGAGAAGAAGCACCGGCUAACUACGUG